GAGGCACCAACGCGUGCCCGUGGUGCCACUCCCCGUUGCAGCCAUUCCGGCUGCUUCUGUGCUUGCUGAGGCAGCAGCCACCACCAUGGCCAUCGGCGACAAGGAAGAGGAGGUGGACUCUUGGCUGCUGCUCAGCAAGGAUCCUGACAACAACAAUUGCAGUAGCAACAACAUCAGCAACAGCAACAACAACAACAUGUACUUUGCAGAAGUGGAUGAGUUCUUUGAUCUUGUCGGCUACAAUUCAUACUGCGACAACCACAUCAACAACGACCCAGAGCAGUACCGAAGGCAAGAACAGCAGCUGAUGCAAAAAGAAUUUGGAGAUAAGGAGGCAGGCGAGUGCGUGGUACCUUCACAAGUUGUGAUGGCAAACGAGCAGCAGCAGAGUGGCUAUGGAGUUGUAGGGUCAGAGCAGGCUGCCUCCAUGACUGCCGGGGUCAGUGCUUACACCGAUUCCAUCAGCAACAGCGUGAGUUCAUCUAUUACUAUGCUGUUGCAUGUCAUGCGUUUGUUCUAGAAUGGAUCCUAAAAGUUUGGGUUAGCGUGUUACAAUGAUCCAGCAAAAAGGGUAGUAUCAAUUGAUCUCAACACAAAACGUAGGGUUUUUUGGUGAAAGGAAAGUCUUAGUUCUCUCAUGUUUUUGUCACUUCCUUCCACUUGUUUCAUUUUAUAGUUUCUACUAUUUUCUAAUUCCAGGCAGACAACUCUUAGGCUGAAGAUAAGGGAAGUAGCAAAAAUGUGCUUAUCUUAUAGUACAACUCUACUACUCUAAAAGCCUCGUCAUAAGAGAAAGAUCCCUAUGAAAACUUAUUUAUGGGUUCCUGAACUUUCAAACAUAGACCACUGUCGGAUUUAGUGACCGGCAGUCCACCUAGGGGUACCCAGAUGGUUGAUUUGUAGACAGAGAGGAUCGCAAGACCAUGAACUUGAUGGUAACACAAGGCACGAGACACAUGAAUUUAUAUAGGUUCGGGCCGCUAGUGUAGCGUAAUACCCUAUGUCUUGUUUUGGGGGAUUGUAUUGCACUCUGCGCUCGGGUGUUGGUUGUUGUGUUGAGGGAUUGGCCGUCCUCCUAGGGAUACCCCUACCUCCCCUUAUAUACUCCGAGAGGUAGGGUUACAUGGCAGGACCUAGUCGAUUACUAUAUAUGAGAUCUAGUCGGAUUACAACUACUUGUAGGGAGCCCUAGAUUCUACCUUCUUCAAGAAGUUGGGCCGGCCUAUUAGUGGUUGGCUGGGUCCUCCAUGAGAGUACCCAGGUAUCCAUAACUGUCAACCACUCAUGUUAUCUCUAAGCAAAUUCUAAAAAUUGAUCACUGAUGGAGACCUCGUUUCAUAUACAAACAACUGGAAAGCUGUUUUUCGUCACUUUAUAUGCACAUCAAUCAAUACACCAAAGAAAUGGGCAGGGACCCAACUAGCUAUUGGAUAACAGUAAGUAGUCCAAUUCUGUCGCUACCAAAGUUACACUUCAUUUUAUCUUUUACUUUGCAACAGUAAAGAUCUUAAAUUUUUCCAUGUGUAGAAUUAAUGCCCUCAAAUUAAACCCGUCUACAUAUCAUUGCAGGGUCUAUGACACCUGCAAUCCCCUUAUGAUUCGCAUAUUUCAGUGACCAUUUGCUGAUUCCAUCUCAGAUAUCUUUCUCAUCAAUGGAGGUGGGUAUAGUACCAGACAACAUGAUCACAGACAUGACAAACGCCAACAUCCUGACAACUGCUGGAGCCAUCAGUCUCUUCUCAGGUCCUUCACUUCAGAUUCCAAUUCACUUCAGCUCUAUGGACAGAGAGGCCAGGGUCUUAAGGUACAAGGAGAAGAAAAAGAAUAGGAAGUUUGAGAAGACCAUACGUUAUGCAACAAGGAAGACAUAUGCAGAAGCACGACCAAGGAUCAAGGGCCGCUUCGCCAAAAGAUCUGAUAUGGAAAUAGAAGUGGACCAGAUGUUCGCAACUGCAGCUCUGUCUGAUGGUAGCUAUGGUACUGUCCCAUGGUUUUGAAGGAACUUGGUGAGACAUUAUCUCAUAGGCAUAUGUAUUUGUAUUGACCAUAUUGAUAUGGUCCAGUGCAACUAGUUCUAGGAAAUCGAUACUAUGAAUAAUAUUGUGCUGUUUAAAACAUAUCAAUCAAGUACUUUGACUCCUAAGUUUUGGUUUGUAAUUUCAGCUAGCAGAUAUAUGUUGUUAAAUACUUGCUCAAUCACAUUAACAUUUUGAAGUGAUCAGAAGCAGCAUAACAAGAUGGAACUGGGAAUUGUGUGCAGAUAACUAUGUGGUGCCACAGAUUAGCAACAAUAAAUAGCAGUAAUGCUAUGGAACAGAAACAUGACUUUGUGGUUGAAAAUACCUUUGCAUGUUGUUUAAGUAUACACAGCUGUUUUCUGCUAAUGAACGCAUGUUCAACGAAAUUCACAUUGCUUGAUGAUUGAUGAUCAUUGUAUCCAACUUAGGUUUCUGUACAGGUGAGGUGGUGUGUUCUCACAGCUUCAAAAAAUAAUUCAUUAUGGAUGAACAAAAGGAAACCAUUCACAGAGAGCGUUUUAGCUGUGAGCAUCACAUCUUCCCAGUAUGGCCUAAGUCCUCAACGUACCACAAGAUUUCAGUGAUCAGUAAGGAAGCUGAGCCUAGCUCAUUUGGUUGAGGAUGUGGAUGUAUGCUUAGACCACCCAGGUUCAAGUCCUCAUCGAGGUGAAUUUGGGUGCCGAUUUUCUUCAUAAUAUAGAGCCACGCAGUUCCUCCUCUCCUAGGCCGGUCUAGUUUAGUGAUUAGUAACUCAAGCAGAAGUUGUAGGCGCUAUUUACACUAUCUGAUGUAUGCAACAUUGACGUUGAGUUAAAAGUACCUAAACCAUAAAACGAUACAAAAGCAUCCUCACACUAUUUCCAAAAUGAAACAAGAAUAUAGCAUAAAGCACUUUCUCAUUCUCAGUGCAUUCAUCUUUCCUUUCGCUAGCAACUAGUGCAUGAAUCUUAGUGCCUUUAUUUCAUGAGUACUAUGGAUGGAACCUCCACCAAAUAUCUGAGGCAUCCCAGGGUAUUGAUCACCUAUACAGCUUAUCAUCCUUGGUUAAACUAAAUGUUUAGGACUGCAAAGCUAGGCCACUAACAAAUCAGCUAAAUCACCAUCCAUUCAGAUUAUCCAGGGCAUUUGGUGUCUGACAUUGCACUACGAUAAGAGGCAAAUCAGAUGUAAACCUUUCAAAAAUAGUAAUCAAAGAAAAUGGCAAUAUAAAAUGUGACGGCUUUGUUCUUGACUAUAAAGUGCACGGGAGAUACAUCAGCCUGUUCGCUUCAGCUUAUCAGCCACCGAACAGUAUUUUUCUCUCACAACAAAUCAGCCAUUUCAGCUUUUCAGCCGGCUUAUAAGUCCAGCCGAACACUCCCACAGUUUCAUGACCUGACUGAAAUUGACCAAAUACGUCAAGGAAGAAUGAAUUGGGGAAUAUAUUUUUCUUGACCAAAUACGUUUUCAUGAUUCUAAGAAAAAGAGGCAUGGACCCAGCCCAACUUUUUAAAGAAAACGAACACUGCAAUACUUCUCUUUAAGCUCACUUUGUUGGGUACGGGCCAUUGUGCCUGGACUAUUGAUACUUUCCCAAACUAAACCCAACCCAAAUUCUCUGAGAUCCAAAUACCGACAGAAUUAUUUCAGUUGUCAAAUAUUGUUACAUACAUCACAUACAAAAGAUUAAGAUUCCCAUUAAUUGCAUAAUUUAGUGGAAACCUAGAAACAGAUAGGUGCAAAAUCCCAACUCUUUUUUUUUGUCAGGUGAAUCCUCCUAGCAUAACAAAACACGCAAUCCAGGGCGUCGCGUACCUUGCCGAUGAGGGCCUAGGGGAAGCGGAGCGCCGGGGGGUGGGGGGGUGGCGGCGGCGGUGGAGGAGGCGGAGCGCGCGGGCCCGGGGGGCGGGCGGCGGCUGGCUGCGAAUCAAUGCAAACCACCGCCGGCGCCACAGUAACGCCUCCCAUACGCCCCCCCCGCAAUUCCCGUUGCUCUCUGCGGAUGCCGGGACCGAGCCGCGAUCCCGUUGCGUCGCCCUCGCCGCGCCGCCGCGGCAUUCGUACAGCGCAGCGCGGUGCGGCUUGCCGCCGAAAGCCAAAUGGCCAUGGUUUGCUAAACCUGAAAGUACGGCCCCAGUCGACCUAUUGAAGGAAGGAAACAAA
rnacentral:lncRNA from 1 species